UCUAAAGCCAAAAACAAAUCAUUUCCCUUUGCUCUGAACAUGUCUGGUUAUCCUCAUACUCCAGCGGGCUACGGCUACGGUGCUCCACCGCCACCCCAACCUCAACCUUACGGAGCCGCUCCUCCAUACGGUGCGCCGGCACCUUCUCAGCCCUAUGGUGCACCCUACGCACCACCUCCGGGCGACAAGCCACCAAAGGACAAACCACACUCCUAUGCACCCCAACCCGGCGGUUACCCACCGUCAGCUCCGUAUGGAAGCCCGUUCGCCUCACUAGUACCCUCCGCUUUUCCUCCAGGGACGGAUCCCAACGUCGUCGCGUGCUUUCAACUCGCUGAUCAGGACGGCAGUGGGUUUAUCGACGACAAGGAGUUGCAGAAAGCACUCUCUAGUUAUAAUCAGAGCUUCAGCUUGAGGACCGUUCAUCUUCUCAUGUAUCUUUUCACCAACAGCAACACUAGGAGGAUCGGUACUUACGGUUUCCCUUUUUUUUGCUUAUCAUUUCAAAUUUCCGUUCUACCGUGAAUAUGUGCAUUGUAGCAAAAGUUUGCUACCCGUUUCUGACUUGCGCCUGGUGUUGAGAAUACGUUACUUGGCUUGAAAUUUUCUCUUUCUUUGUUGCGCCACGAAUACUGGGUGAGCAUUAAGUGGAUAUAAAUAUAUAAUAAAUAAAUAGAAAUGGUCUGUUCAGUUAGGUCACCAACGCCGGGUCCAUAUGCUUUUUUCUGAUACCUCACGCGUCUCAAUCAAUCAAUCUGCUUACGCGGGAUUUAAUUAAAAAAAAAAAAAAUCUUAGGCCGUGGUAACUCAAUUCGGGAACUUAAUUCCAUCAGAGCCUUGUUUGAUUAGCCAUUUGAACCAAAACAAGGCCUAAGAUCUGCUCGAAUUUUUUCUAACUUCAAUUUUUGAAAUUUUUAAUGCAGGGCCUAAAGAAUUCACUUCAGUGUUUUAUAGUCUUCAGAACUGGAGGGCCAUUUUCGAGAGAUUUGAUAGGGAUAGGAGUGGCAAGAUUGAUU
rnacentral:misc_RNA from 1 species